rnacentral:lncRNA from 1 species
AUAUCUCUUUCACAGGGGUUCUAUAUCAGAUAUUUACAUUAUGAUUCAUGACAGUUAUGAAGUAGAAACAAAAUAAUUUUAUGUUUGGAGUCACCACAGCAUGAGGAGCUGUGGUGAAAGAGUCUUAUCAUAGCAUUAGGAAGGUUGAGAACCACUACUCUAAACUCUAAUUGUGUGGAAUAAAGAUAGGACAGCGGAAUGAAGGAAAAGUAGAAUGGGGAGCAUUCUUGUUUUGAAAUUAUGUACACAACCCAACCUUUAUUUAUGUAACUUCCAAAUUAAAAUUCAGUAGAAACAUUAAAUGCAUAUAUUCUCCCAGAGGCUAGCCCAAAAUAAGCAUAUUUGUUCCAAUGUGACUUGCUGUGCGUGUCUUGGUGAAGAGUCCAAACAUGCUUCCAUUGUAGUGAUGUUCCUGAGUUUUUGCAGACAUUUAUUUGUCUGUAUUGAAUUGACUUGUAUCCUGCCUCUUUCUAAAACAGAUGUAAAGGCCUUGAAGCAUAAGCCAGAUGUAAUGUGAGAGUGAGAGCCAGAGCUGAAGACACUCACGAAAGAGCUUCUUACAUCAUAACAGGGCACUGGGGCCACUGUAGCAACAAGUAGUGACAGAACAGUGACUCACAAUUAACUAUUGUGGACUCCCUGAGCUGUACUGUAGGGUGUGUCACUACCAUUUGUCCCAUUGUUACUCCAAAGUUUUCAGAUGCUCCCUGGAAUUGUACUGAGUCUUAGCUUGAAAACCUUGAAGGUCAUUCUAAAGAUUGUAUGUAGUAUGUUCCAGAAAGCAGCCAAUUUCUUGGGGAAAUUUUUAGUAUCCCAGUAACUUUCCGUUCCUCUUCCAUGAGUCUGUAAGAUACAUUCAGAGUUACUACACAAGCUCAUGUGCAGCAUAGUCUACGACAAAAAAAGGGAGGGACAUAGCAAAAUAAGUAAAGAUUAGUGAUAAAGAAAAAGUAUGACUAAAGCUAACCUUGAUGCCCUCAUCUUCUGGAGAGCUUCCCUUGCGAGUAUAUUUUGCAUGUUCUUCUCUGAAGAUAAAGGGAAGCUUGAGGGUGUCUUCAGUUACAUACCACAUCCAUUCAUUUCCACAGCUAGGCAUUCUUAUGUUCUUGUCCAAUGUCAUCUGUAGACUCCUCUGCUUUUCUAGGCCAGCUUGGUAUGGGAUUGAAUGACCUCAAAGGUAUGCAUAUGAGAUGCUUCCACCAUUGGUUUCCUUGUUACCGUGUUGCAGGACUUGUUGCCUGCAGUCCAGCUCUUCCCUGGUUUGUUUACUUGGGAUCACUAUGUAAUCAUUCAUUUUAUGGAGUCUCAUUAAGGACUGCAAACCUCUGUCCCAAUUUAGCUUCGUUGGAGCGUAGGUAGCAUCCAUCUGCUCCGCCCGCACUGUUUAAUUAAUGAACCUGGUAAUGUGCUCUGUGCCUGAAAAAAAAGCUGUCCUCACAGGGUAUUGAAUGAGACGCCACAUUCCAGGUUUUCAUGGGGAAACUCUUGGAAGCCCUCUGUGGUGGGUGCUAAUUGAGGACUCAGAACUUGUGUUCAGUCUUCUCUUGAAGACUGACUUAGUUUUCAUGUCACUGUAUAUUCAUAAACCCAGGGUCAUAUCACUGUAAAUAAGUGAAUUAUUGACCAGGCUCAUAAUCUUUGUCCUUGCUAAAAGUAGAGAUUCCCUUUUUGUGAAGCUGCAUUUUGUUUCAAUUAAGAAAAUGUCGACUUAUUAUUUUGGGAUUUCUUUUUUUCUGAAAUUAAAGUUACAGAAACAGUGGAAUUUCAGAAAUGUUACUGGUUUUCAGUAUCUCUGCUGUGAUCCUGUGUAGAAACUGUGUAGCUAAGAUCCUAUUCAAAGUAAUCAGUGCCCACUGAAUUUCCAGUAUAGAAAAUUGUAAGACUCGUGCAAAAUACUCUUUAAAUUUCAGUAUUUGCUUAGUCUUUAGUGUAUUGUAAAACCCAUCCUGUGUCCAGAGGUUCAUUGAUAGAAACUUUGAUAUAUGUACAAAUGGGACCCAACUAACCUUGUUCAUUUCAUUAGACAUAUGUUAUACACCAAGGCUGGGUACUUAUUUUUUUUUAUUUUUUUUUUCCUCCUCAAAAAACCAAUGCAUAGGAUUCACAAGCCUUUCCUUAAAAACUAUCUAUCAGAUUAAGUUCCAAUGUCCCCUAUCAAGUGCUUUUAUAUCCUGGAAUUUCUUUCUCCCAUGAAACAUGUUAGAGUCACGAUGAUGUUGUAUUCAGAUCUCUUAAUCACAUUAGCAUGUGUCCCUAUAAUGAAAGAAAAAGUUCCUGAAUACUCAUUUUUCUAUUGUUUGGUUUUUGGUUUGGGGUUUGGUUUUUCAACACAGUGUUUCUCUGUGGAUCUGUGGCUGUCCUGGAAAUCACUCUGUUGAUCAGGCUGGCCACAAAUUCAGAUCCACCUACCUCUGCCUCCCAAAUGCUAGGAUUAAAGGUGUGCACCACCACACCCAGCUCUGAAUACUCAUUUUUCAAAGAGACUUUUACUUAGCCCCAUCAGCAUGAAGUGGAACAGCUGUCAUCAUUAACUCAUUUAGUAGCAGAGCUAAAGUCACAGUUACCAAUGUUACUGUAAACAUAAAAGCAGAGGCUUGGCUGGUAAACAUAAAAGCAGAGUUUGGCUGGUAGUAUGCUUGCCUACAAUGCAAGAAACCCUGGGUUCAAUCCCUAUCGAUGCAUCAACCCUACCUACAGGCAUGAUGGCACACCUCUAUCAUUGCAGCAGGUGAGGGGGAAGUAGGAGGACCAUAAGUUCAAGGUUAUUUUCACUUUCAUGGUAAACUCAAGCCUAACCUAAGAUAAAAGAGACCCUGUCUCAAAACAAAAACAAAUGGAGGGAGGAAAGCAGAUAAGAAUUGUAAGACUAACUAAAGACUGGGGCAGGAGGCAGACACUGUCUUCUUGCAUCCUUCUCUGGAGUUUGUAGAACAGACUACAGCCGAGGCAGAAACAUACUCUUAGGUCAUUGAUAUGGAGCAGGAAUCCCCAGGCUCUAUUAAUGUAGUCCCCUGUCUAAGUAAAAGACUGUCCCACAUAUCCCCUCAAAGGUGCUCACAGAGAUCAUUUCAUGAUGACAGAGAAUUGGAGGACAGUUACAGGAUGGACCUUGGUAUUUCCUUUCAUACUGAAAUACAUAAAAUUGCUAGAUGAAGGUCAUUUUUCUGAUUCUCUGUGGCUGUUUCCAAUUAUACAAAUGGGCAAUAACUAUGAACACCCACUUCCUGUCCUCCCCAGAGGGCAGUUUGCCUGGGAAACUGUAAGUAGAGGAUCCUACAAAGUUCAGGGUACCUUUGUGGGUCACUGCCUGUUGAACAGGGUUUUUCUUUAAAGCUGUUAGCCCUUACCCUGUGUUUCUGUUUAUUCUGGGUGUUGUGCCCCCGUGAAUAUCAUUUUUGUCCAUAAUACAAUGUAUUGGAAAUCCUGCUUCUGAGAGGAGGACUUUGAAAUAAUUACCCAGUGAAAUUCAUCUUUACCUGGGACGUUAGUGAAUUCUUAAGUCUGCCUUUGGCCCAGACAGCUGCCAACUCUGGUGCUGGGCAGUGGGUAGCCUGCCUUAUUUACCAGUUCACAAGAAGAAAGAGAGAGAGAGAGAAGAAAG